GCCUUCGUGGUGUAAUGAUCACUACACUCGGCUCAUAUUCGAGAGGUCGGAGGUUCGAGUCCUGGCGAGAGCA
rnacentral:tRNA from 1 species